rnacentral:rRNA from 1 species
ACACUCCUACGGGAGGCAGCAGUGGGGAAUAUUGGACAAUGGGCGCAAGCCUGAUCCAGCCAUGCCGCGUGAGUGAUGAAGGCCCUAGGGUUGUAAAGCUCUUUCACCGGUGAAGAUAAUGACGGUAACCGGAGAAGAAGCCCCGGCUAACUUCGUGCCAGCAGCCGCGGUAAUACGAAGGGGGCUAGCGUGGUUCGGAUUUACUGGGCGUAAGGCGCACGUAGGCGGACUAUUAAGUCAGGGGUGAAAUCCCGGGGCUCAACCCCGGAACUGCCUUUGAUACUGGUAGUCUGGAGUUCGAGAGAGGUGAGUGGAAUUCCGAGUGUAGGGGUGAAAUUCGUAGAUAUUCGGAGGAACACCAGUGGCGAAGGCGGCUCACUGGCUCGAUACUGACGCUGAGGUGCGAAAGCGUGGGGAGCAAACAGGAUUAGAAACCCCGGUAGUCCCA